UACUUCAUACAUUAUUCAUACAUUUCUAAUAGAAAAGUAUUCCUAAUGUGUCGAGAGACUUGAUAUUGUUGAAAUGAAAUUCUUAAUUAAAAGCUAUCUAAUUCACCUUAAUAUGUAAUUAGAACGAUAAGAAAUUAUCAUUAUUUCCUUCAAUUUUAUAAGAGAAUAAAUAAAUUCAGAGCAUCAUGAAAAAAUCUAUGUCGAGUUGUUUUAAAAAGAAAAUUUUAUAUAAUAGUGAUCCAAUUAAAAAUUAUUCAUUUACAAGUUUGACUGAUGUUUGAACUACAACACUAACGUACUCAAUUUGAAUGCGUAUAUACACGCUUCGUCUUUUGAACGACAACGCCACACAAAGGACUGAUAAAACUGAGGAAAUCAGAAAAAUAACUACUGUAACACUUGAUGCUGAAACUGAAAUUAGGAAAGUUAUUGGCGCACCCCCCAUACAAUGUUCUAAAGGGCAGCGCAAGGACCAAUAUGGGAAUUGUGUACCAAUCAUUUCUGCAUCAAACAUGGAUAGAUCAUUAACAACUGCUAGUAUAAUCUAAACAAAAUGAAAUUAAUUUUUUUACUAUUUCAUUAAACAUUUAUGUAAUUUAAUUCAGGUCAAUAAUGAACAAUGUGAUAAUAUGAAAUAAACAGUGUCAUAUAACA